rnacentral:rRNA from 1 species
AGAGUUUGAUCAUGGCUCAGGACGAACGCUGGCGGCGUGCUUAACACAUGCAAGUCGAACGGUGAAGCCUUCGGGUGGAUCAGUGGCGAACGGGUGAGUAACACGUGGGCAAUCUGCCCUGCACUCUGGGACAAGCCCUGGAAACGGGGUCUAAUACCGGAUACGACCACCUUGGGCAUCCUUGGUGGUGGAAAGCUCCG